rnacentral:rRNA from 1 species
CCUACGGGAGGCAGCAGUGAGGAAUAUUGGUCAAUGGGCGGAAGCCUGAACCAGCCAAGUAGCGUGAGGGAUGACGGCCCUAUGGGUUGUAAACCGCUUUUGCACGGGGAUAACACCCUCCACUUGUGGAGGUCUGCAGGUACCGUGCGAAUAAGGACCGGCUAACUCCGUGCCAGCAGCCGCGGUAAUACGGAGGGUCCGAGCGUUAUCCGGAUUUAUUGGGCUUAAAGGGGUCGUAGGGGGACGUUAAAGGCAGUGGUAAAAUCGCGGGGCUCAACCUCGCACCGCAGUUGAAACUGGGAGCAUUGAGUUCACAAGAGGUAGGCGGAAUGCGUGGUGUAGCGGUGAAAUGCAUAGAUAUCACGAAGAACCCCGAUUGCGAAGGCAGCCUGCCGGGGUGCAACUGACGCUGAGGCUCGAAGGUGCGGGUAUCAAACAGGAUUAGAUACCCGUGUAGUC